GUUAUGGCUUGAUUUCAGAAAGACACGACUGACUCUACAAGGGCAGUGCGUUUCCGCCUCCGCAUAAAGCAGGACUCUGACCACUCAGCUCUGCCUGGAACUAGAGGUGGAAUCUCAGAAUGCCCAAAAAGGGUCUGGAAAGCUAUCCCUCCCCCUUUAGAGGUGGAUCUAAAAGGAGUCUUAGAGCUCGGUUCACAGAGCUUUCCCUGACACCACUCUUGGGGACCCCACUGCAGGCACCUGUGAAGGAGACGAAUGUCUUUCCCUGGCGGUCCCUGCCUUCUACCCACGCGCUGCCGAGCCCAGCAGCUGAAUUCCCCAGUGUCCGCCCCCGUGGAGUUCACUACCAGCAGCUGACUGUGCUGGCUGAAGUGCUUGAUGCUGAAAGACAGAGGCGACAGGCGGCAAGAGAUGGAGACGACCCAAAACACCCACCACAGAGCCCACCACCCAACUUCCGCCCCAGUCUUCCCGACUUGCUCCAAUGGCGGUUGGGAUUUGCGUUGACCCCGCCCACCGCCUCUGAUUGGUUCACCUAACCCCGCUGACUUCAGGCACAACUUCUAAUUGGGCCGUUCUGCUUCUUAUUGGCCUCGUCGCAGACGCCUAGCAGUCACCCACAGGCCUUUGCGGCCUUGGCACCUUCCUGGCGUCCCCUUGUUCAGACCUGCGAAUUCCCUCUCACCCUCUUCAUCCGCUGAAGGAGGCAGAAUCCCGGGAGCGCUCAUUUUAAGAGGCUGAAGCGAGAGAAGGUCCCUCCCACAACAGCCACAGCCAAGGGUCUCCGGAUGUCCCAAGAUGGAGGGAGACGUCCAUACCUGAAAUGACGCAGAUGAGCAGGAAACAGGCCGGGCAGCGGAUGGCCCUGGAGUCCAUGGUGCUGAAGCCUGGAGCGGAGAUGCAGAACUUUCCCUUGGAGAUCGAGGUAAACUCAGAACUAGAAUUCUGUCUUGGAGAUCAGCAAUACACUCCCAGCUUCAAAGAAGCCUCCUGAAGAUCCAAAUGCUGUUAAACCUACAACUGAAGCAGAGCAGAACAGUACCAGAGAGAAGGGAAUAAGGGACCAGAUACAGCUCCUAAGGUCUCACCUUCAUGACCCAUCCUGACGCCCCUAGAAGUGUGCAGCUCCCAAGCUAAGUAAGUUGACCACAUAAAACUCAACCACCAUAGCAGGAG
ensembl:lncRNA